rnacentral:lncRNA from 1 species
CAAACUGCUGUUAGAGACAGCAGAAGCCAUUUUACAUUGUAACACUUUAUAGGUUUUUGCUAUUUAUAAAAGUUUUCCCUAUCACUGGUGUAGAAAAGGAGAUCAGGAGGCCUGUGUUAGACCAAAAAGAGGCUCAAACACUUGAGAUGGAAAGAAAACUACCAUUAAAUAGAAUGGACACUGAACCACACAGAAUGAAAACACAAGGAGAAUUAGUGGAAGACCCCUUUCUCAAACUUGGUCC